CAGAGCUCGAAACCGUUACGAGUGCCUAGGCGCGUUGCACGACGGAGCUACGUCAUGCUCGCUUGCACAAAAGUUUUCUCGUAAUAAAGGAAUCGCUAUUCAUUUUCAUUUUUAUUUCCUUCCUAUCUCCCAUCCUCACAGUUCUUGCGAGUAAAUUAUAACAAAAACCAUAUUCCAAAGAAAAAUAUUGAAGAGGACCUACAAUCUACAACGUCUUCACAUCAAAUUCUGACUGAAAAACACGAGUUGAUUUCUACAAAAAGAGCGGCCGCGAAAGAAAAUCUUUUACUGCAAGCAACAAAAAUGUUACGAGCCUCACAAAAACAAUUUCCUCCUGCUCAAAUUGGUGAUAAUGUACGAAUGCAAGUUCCUGAUGUCGACCGUUGUCGUACAGAUAACCGAAAUGUGUUAGCGGUUGUUGUUGGAAUAGAAGACUCCCACUUCUAUAAACUCUCAAAUAAAAAUGGUACCCUCAACCAGCUUUACACACGUAAUCAGUUCGUAAUUUGUAAAGAAAAGUUACUUUCCAUAGAUGAGAUUUCUUUUCAAGAAAUGUCGCUGAGAGAAGCAGCUGCAGCUAAUUCAAGAAGCGGGGGACAAGGCUAUAGACGCUGUCAUUGCAAAAGGAAGUGUUCCACAAAUAAAUGCAGUUGUAAAAGCAAGGAACUCUUGUACAAUUCAAAGUGUUAUAAUAGUUUAAGUUGUUGCAAUAAAUAAGAUUUGAAUCACAUAAAAAGAGGGGCGAAAAAGUUACGUCACUCUUGUGACGUUUUAUAGCGACUGAAUUACGGAGAAGAAAAUAUAGAUCUCCAACAUGUUCAACAUUCACCAUUAGUGCAUGGUGAAUGUCAACAUUUACCGGUGUGUACGAGAUCCUCCCAGGUCUCCGAGAGGCGAUUUUUGAGUCUUCACGGAUCUUUGGAUUGAUAUGGAUCUCGCGAUGACGCAUGCGUGUCUUUGGCCAUUCGUCAAUUUUUAUUUUUGACUAAUACUAUUAUUUUUCUGAUUUUUGUAACUAGGUAUUUCAUCAAACGAAACUACCCUUUAUAAUAGUUUAAAUUCAAUAACCUACACUUUACAAUAGUUUAGAUAAUACUUAAAAUAUUUUCUUGUAUUUCCAAAAGUAAAAGGAUUAUUUAGGUGUUUUAUUUCAAAUGGAAUAUUGUUUAUAACGCUCUUUUCCAUUAAAUUAAUUCAGAAUAAUUAAAUUAUUCUUUUUCAAGAACGAUAUUAAGAUACGCCGCUUGAAAUCAGUAAAGAGCCGUCUAUUCAAAAAACCGUCAAGGCAUAAUGAACAAUACAAAUAUUGACUAAUCAACAGGUCGACGGCAUUGAAGUAUUCUCAGAACGUAUUAUUAUCGUCUCAAUUGCGUUCAACUUUCUAUAACGCGUCCAAUAAAUAGAAAUAGAAUUAGUAUAUUACAUCGUUACUAAUAGGAAAUGUUCUUCUACAUUCAAUUAUUGAAAAUUGAAUGUUUAUUCUACAUUGUUAUUGUACUCGUUAAUAUCUAUCUCAAUCUAGAGACGCGGUAGCGUCUCGACGCCAAGUACAUGAAAAAUUAUACGCCACCGUGUAUACUGGCGCUGGCGCUGGCGCUACCACGUAUCUUUUACUCGUAAAACUGCGAUUCCAACCUAACCCGAAACUUGUGUCACUAAUAUCUCAUCACGCCUGCUGUAUUUUCUAAAUCCAAAGGCAUUUUUCUAAUGUAAAUCGCAUAUAAGCUUUCUAAUGAAACCAAAAUCAAUAAAAUCGGUCUAUGUACAACUGAGAUAUCGUAAUACCAUGUCAUGAAUCGGUCAGAAAUUGUAGAUUUUUUUUCUGAUUCUGAUUCUUAUUCUUUUCGUCAACACUUACAAGGAGAGUGCAAGACCUUCAACUCACCAAUUUCAUUGAAACUUUGUACACUUAUAGAUUUCGCUCCCCUGAUUACGAAUAUAUAACAUUAUAGAGGCAGACACUCAAUAGUUUUGGAGAUAUUUGUAAUUAAAGUUUUAUUAUUACCUUGAU